UACAGAGGUCUCAAGCGUUGUCCGGAAUUAUUGGGCGUAAAGAGCUCGUAGGCGGUCUGUUGCGUCCGCUGUGAAAACUCGGGGCUUAACCCCGAGCCUGCAGUGGAUACGGGCAGACUAGAGGUAGGUAGGGGAGAAUGGAAUUCCCGGUGUAGCGGUGAAAUGCGCAGAUAUCGGGAGGAACACCGGUGGCGAAGGCGGGUCUCUGGACAGUUCCUGACACUGAGGCACGAAGGCCAGGGGAGCAAACGGG
rnacentral:rRNA from 1 species